rnacentral:rRNA from 1 species
AGGACGAACGCUGGCGGCGUGCUUAACACAUGCAAGUCGAGCGAUGAAGCUCCUUCGGGAGUGGAUUAGCGGCGGACGGGUGAGUAACACGUGGGUAACCUGCCUCAUAGAGGGGAAUAGCCUUUCGAAAGGAAGAUUAAUACCGCAUAAGAUUGUAGUACCGCAUGGUACAGCAAUUAAAGGAGUAAUCCGCUAUGAGAUGGACCCGCGUCGCAUUAGCUAGUUGGUGAGGUAACGGCUCACCAAGGCGACGAUGCGUAGCCGACCUGAGAGGGUGAUCGGCCACAUUGGGACUGAGACACGGCCCAGACUCCUACGGGAGGCAGCAGUGGGGAAUAUUGCACAAUGGGGGAAACCCUGAUGCCAGCAACGCCGCGUGAGUGAUGACGGUCUUCGGAUUGUAAAACUCUGUCUUUAGGGACGAUAAUGACGGUACCUAAGGAGGAAGCCACGGCUAACUACGUGCCAGCCGCUGC